rnacentral:rRNA from 1 species
GAUGAACGCUGGCGGCGUGCCUAAUACAUGCAAGUCGAACGAAACUUCUUUAUCACCGAGUGCUCGCACUCACCGAUAAAGAGUUGAGUGGCGAACGGGUGAGUAACACGUGGGCAACCUGCCCAAAAGAGGGGGAUAACACUUGGAAACAGGUGCUAAUACCGCAUAACCAUAGUUACCGCAUGGUAACUAUGUAAAAGGUGGCUAUACUACCGCUUUUGGAUGGGCCCGCGGCGCAUUAGCUAGUUGGUAGGGUAAAGGCUUACCAAGGCAAUGAUGCGUAGCCGAAUUGAGAGGUUGAUCGGCCACAUUGGGACUGAGACACGGCCCAAACUCCUACGGGAGGCAGCAGUAGGGAAUCUUCCACAAUGGGCGAAAGCCUGAUGGAGCAACGCCGCGUGGGUGAAGAAGGUCUUCGGAUCGUAAAACCCUGUUGUUAGAGAAGAAAGUGCGUGAGAGUAACUGUUCACGUUUCGACGGUAUCUAACCAGAAAGCCACGGCUAACUACGUG